rnacentral:lncRNA from 1 species
CUGGAACUGAGGUUAACGCUUCAGGGCACCUCAAGAUUUGAGCCGGUUUUUACAGCACCUUCUCUGCAGUUGAUCAGCAGGGCUGAAUCGCGAGUUUGGGAGAGGAGAUUUGUGGCUGGAACUGGCGCUCACAUUGGGGAGGGAAGACCUGCACCUUCAGCUCUUAGGCUGAGAGUCAGUAACACCACCAUAGCUUCUUGUCUUGCUUCUCUGACAUCUGUCCCUCAAGGGUGCCUUUGCAGCAUUACAAUAAUUGUGAGGAAGAGCAGGCAGAGUCUGCUCCAGCCUCCUUGUGCCUCAGUUUGUCCAUCUCUAAAGCAGCGCAUAUCUGAAAUUGGAUGGUCCUUAAGUUGGCGCUGCUGAGGAGGGGUUCAUGUGAAGUGCUCUGGGCUCCUGCUCACCAUUUCUAUGAUGUGGGUAACUUGCUCGACCCCUCUGUGACUCCACUUCUCACUUGUAAAUAAGGAUAGUAAUAGUACCUACCUCAGAGUGUCAUUGCAGGACUCCAACCAGAUACAUAUGUGUCCGGGGCUUAUAAUAAAAUCAUGGUUCAAUAAAUCUUAGUUCUUACUACGUGUGGUCAUUAUUCAGUCUUCACACUGAUCUCGUGAACUAG